GCCGUCCGCGCGACGUCUACCCCCGCCGGCCGCUACCCCUACCACCUACCCCGCGCCGGUCCCCGUGCUCUACCACUCCCUAAUCCGCCGCUGGCCUCGGCUCCCUCUUCCACCCCGCACCCCGCUGCCGGCCUCGGCUCCCUCUUCCACUCCGCACCCCCUGCUGGCCUCGGCCCCCAUCUUCCACCCCGUGCCCCGCCGCCGGCCUCGGUCCCUCUUCCACCCCGCGGCCCGGUGCCAGCCUAGAUCCCCUCUUCCACCCCGUGCUCCGCCGCUGGCCUCGGUCCCCUCUGCCACCCCGAGCCGCGCCGCCGGCCUCGGUCCCCUCUUCCACCCCGCGUUCCGCUGCCGGCUUCGGUCCCUCUCCUCCACCUCCGCCUCGCCGGUGUGGCCUCUACAGAGAAAAAACCCCUUUGUCCUUGCCCGAGCCCGCGCUCUCAUUGUCUUAUC
rnacentral:rRNA from 1 species